rnacentral:rRNA from 1 species
AGUGAACGCUGGCGGUAGGCCUAACACAUGCAAGUCGAACGGCAGCACAGUAAGAGCUUGCUCUUACGGGUGGCGAGUGGCGGACGGGUGAGGAAUACAUCGGAAUCUACUUUUUCGUGGGGGAUAACGUAGGGAAACUUACGCUAAUACCGCAUACGACCUACGGGUGAAAGCAGGGGAUCUUCGGACCUUGCGCGAUUGAAUGAGCCGAUGUCGGAUUAGCUAGUUGGCGGGGUAAAGGCCCACCAAGGCGACGAUCCGUAGCUGGUCUGAGAGGAUGAUCAGCCAAACUGGAAAUGAGAAAAGGUCCAGACUCCUACGGGAGGCAGAAGUGGGGAAUAUUGGACAAAGGGCGCAAGCCUGAUCCAGCCAAACCGCGUGGGUGAAGAAGGCCUUCGGGUUGUAAAGCCCUUUUGUUGGGAAAGAAAAGCAGCAGGUUAAUACCCCGCUGUUCUGACGGUACCAAAAGAAUAAGCACCGGCUAACUUCGUG